rnacentral:rRNA from 1 species
GCACUCUAAGGAGACUGCCGGUGACAAACCGGAGGAAGGUGGGGAUGACGUCAAAUCAUCAUGCCCCUUAUGACCUGGGCUACACACGUGCUACAAUGGAUGGUACAAAGGGCUGCAAGACCGCGAGGUCAAGCCAAUCCCAUAAAAGCAUUCUCAGUUCGGAUUGUAGGCUGCAACUCGCCUACAUGAAGCUGGAAUCGCUAGUAAUCGCGGAUCAGCAUGCCGCGGUGAAUACGUUCCCGGGCCUUGUACACACCGCCCGUCACAACCACGAGAGUUUGUAACACCCGAAGUCGGUGGAGUAACCGUAAGGAGCUAGCCGCCUAAGGGGACAGGGU